rnacentral:misc_RNA from 1 species
ACAGUGGAUGACGCAAGAGGAUGAAGGAGAUGAGCUAGGAGCGACUGUGACGGACGGAAAUAUUAUUGAGGUGAUAGACGGCGAAAAUGAUGAUCUUCUAGAGUACUUGAGCACAAUUGGAAAUUCAAAAAUACCCCAAGCAGCGUCAGAAAAAGCAGGUAGAUAUGUUGUGUUAAUUCUCUAUAAUUAUUUCUAAAUAAUUAAUCCUGUUUUAUAUUCGUAGAGCAAUCAAGAAAUCCGAACAAG